rnacentral:lncRNA from 1 species
UGCUGAUUAAAAAGCAUUUUCGAGGAUGCGAAAAAGGGAUUUAUAUGAUGCAUUGGCAAGGCUAAGGAAAAUGAGUCUUAUUAUGCAUUGUCAAGGAAAAUAUGCUUUGUUACGUGUUGUCAAGGUUAAGGGAAAGGGGGUCUAUGAAUUCAUUGACAAUAAGAGAGAGGGAGAGUUUAGUUAUUGGAUUAUCGGGAUUGAAGUUAAGGGAGUCUCUGUAGGCAUUGUUGAGGUUGGGUGAAAGGGAGGCUUAUAUGAAAAAGAAGAUGUGGUAUGAUUGCCAAUGAGACAACUGUUCACAAGAGACCAAAAUGACACAGACAUUAACAUCUUUAGGUCACCGUACGUACGGCUUUCAACAAUGAGCAAGCCCAUACCGCAUCGUCAGCUAUAAAAGACCCCGAUUAGACAAUGUAAGCAUAUGUUGUCAAAGCAUGUAUUGUCAAUAAUAAGGGAUAUGGAGAUCGAAUAUAAAAUAUUGAGGGUGUUAGAAAGGAAGUCAAGGUCUUCACUGUAUAGUUUGAAGUAAAGUGAUAUGAUUAAUAUGCUUUCUCGAGGAUUGGGGGAUCAUGAAUUCGUAUAAUGGAUUGUCAAACAAAAAUGGAUGGAAACCUAAUAUGCCUAACAAUAAAGGGGAAAUAUAGUUUCGCAUAACAUUCUCAAGGAAUCUAAGGAAACAUUGUCAAGGAUGAGGACAAUUGGUUCUUAGUGUGCAUAUUCAACGUUAUGAGAAGUGGAACCGAGUACGCAUUGCCAGAAUGGGGGUGGGGGUUAAAAAGGGAGUGUGAGGAAUGGAGUUAUAGUACACUUGGUAGAGAUUGGUUAAAAGAGAGUUAAGUUUGAAGAAACGUAAGCCUUAGAUUGAAUUAUGGGGAGGAAUUGAUUUCUACGUAUACAUCUAUGCUACCAAAGGAAUAUAUCGAUUUCAUUGAGCCGCAUUUCCUACGAAA